rnacentral:ncRNA from 1 species
GGCUUGGUCCCAACCUUUUUAUCAAUUUCAACCCAACUUAUACAUGCAAGUUUCCGCACCCCAGUGAAAACACCCUUAACUCCCCAGCCGGAGUAAGGAGUUGAUAUCAGGCUCUAUCGCCAAAAACAUCUAGCCUCGCCACACCCACAAGGGCAUUCAGCAGUAAUUAACAUUGAACAUUAACGUCAGUUAGAUUCAGUCAGGGUUAUUAGGGCCGGCUAAUCUAGUGCCAGCCGCCGCGGUUACACUACGAGGCUCAAAUUGAUAACAAAGCGGCGUAAAGCGUGACUGAACAUUCCUUUUACUAGAAUGAAACCCAAAUUAAGUUGUAAAAUGCUUAUUAAAAGACUAUCACAAACGAAAGUUAUUCUAGUUAUAUAAUUCACGACAGUUGGGAAACAAACUGGGAUUAGAUACCCCACUAUGCCCAACCGUAAACUUUUAUUUACAACCCCAACCGCCAGAAGACUACGAGCCCUGCUUAAAACUCAAAGGACUUGACGGUAUUCCAUAUCCGACUAGAGGAGCCUGUCCUGUCAUCGAUAACCCCCGCUAAACCUCACCCCUUUUAGCCUCUCAGCCUGUAUACUUCCGUCACCAAUUCACCACAUGAGCGCAACUCAGUGAUUGACCCCGCCUAACCCGCAUAAACGUCAGGUCAAAGUGCAGCAAAUAAAGCGGGAAGAGAUGGGCUACAUUCUCUAACAUAGAACAUACGAAAGACUAAUAUGAAAUCUAGUCAAGAAGGCGGAUUUAGAAGUAAGGGGGGAAUAGAGUGCCCCCCUUAACCAGGCACUGGAAUGUGUACACACCGCCCGUCACCCUCUUCAAAACACCUAUAAGUCUUUAACUCAUAAUUGUUAUAAAGAAGAGAUAAGUCGUAACAUGGUAAGUGUACCGGAAGGUGUACUUGGACAA